rnacentral:snRNA from 1 species
CUGAUGUCUACAAAUUGUAAU